ensembl:snRNA U6 U6 spliceosomal RNA
ACGCUUCCCUCAGCAGCACAUAUACUAAAACUGGACUGAUACAGAGAAGAUUAGCAUGGUCCCUGCACAAGGAUAACACGCAUUCAUGAAGCAUUCCAUGUUUAA